CCUAACACAUGCAAGUCGAACGGUAACAGGAAGAAGCUCGCUUCUUUGCUGACGAGUGGCGGACGGGUGAGUAAUGUCUGGGAAACUGCCUGAUGGAGGGGGAUAACUACUGGAAACGGUGGCUAAUACCGCAUAACGUCGCAAGACCAAAGAGGGGGACCUUCGGGCCUCUUGCCAUCAGAUGUGCCCAGAUGGGAUUAGCUAGUAGGUGGGGUAACGGCUCACCUAGGCGACGAUCCCUAGCUGGUCUGAGAGGAUGACCAGCCACACUGGAACUGAGACACGGUCCAGACUCCUACGGGAGGCAGCAGUGGGGAAUAUUGCACAAUGGGCGCAAGCCUGAUGCAGCCAUGCCGCGUGUAUGAAGAAGGCCUUCGGGUUGUAAAUACUUUCAGCGGGGAGGAAGGGAGUAAAGUUAAUACCUUUGCUCAUUGACGUUACC
rnacentral:rRNA from 1 species